rnacentral:rRNA from 1 species
AACGUGUCGCGAUGGAUGACUUGGCUUCCUAUUUCGUUGAAGAACGCAGCAAAGUGCGAUAAGUGGUAUCAAUUGCAGAACCAUCCAAUUACCGAAUCUUUGAACGCAAACGGCGCAUGGGAG